AAUGAACGCUGGCGGCGUGCUUAACACAUGCAAGUCGUGCGCGAAGGUGGCUUCGGCCACCGGAGAGCGGCGAACGGGUGAGUAACACGUGGGUAAUCUACCUGGGAGUGGGGAAUAACCUGGGGAAACUCGGGCUAAUUCCGCAUACGUUGGCAGGGUUAUGGCCUUGCCUGGAAAGCUGGCCUCUACUUGUAAGCUAGCGCUCCCAGAGGAGCCCGCGGCUGAUUAGCUAGUGGUGAGGUAAUGGCUCACCAAGGCUGCGAUCAGUAGCCGGCCUGAGAGGGUGAUCGGCCACACUGGGACUGAGACACGGCCCAGACUCCUACGGGAGGCAGCAGUGAGGAAUAUUGGACAAUGGGCGAAAGCCUGAUCCAGCAACGCCGCGUGGAGGAUGAGGGUCUUCGGAUUGUAAACUCCUGUCAGGCGGGACGAAGGGGCGUCGGUAAAUAAUCGGCGUCCUUGACGGUACCGCCAGAGGAAG
rnacentral:rRNA from 1 species